UACGAAGGGGGCUAGCGUUGUUCGGAAUUACUGGGCGUAAAGGGUGCGUAGGCGGCUUUACAAGUUGGAUGUGAAAGCCCAGGGCUCAACCCUGGAAUUGCAUUCAAUACUGUUUUGCUUGAAUUCGGUAGAGGUUGGUGGAAUUCCCAGUGUAGAGGUGAAAUUCGUAGAGAUUGGGAAGAACACCCGUGGCGAAGGCGGCCAACUGGACCGACAUUGACGCUGAGGCACGAAAGCGUGGGGAUCAAACAGG
rnacentral:rRNA from 1 species